rnacentral:lncRNA from 1 species
GUAUAGUAAAAAAUUGUGUUCAGGUUCUAUGCGGCAGGGGUCUAUGAAACAACACACACACACACACACACACACACACACACACACACCUCAUUAUCCAUAUGUAAAUAUCCCCAAAUCUGAAGAGAAAAAAAAAAUCUGAAGUCCAAAACAGUUCUGGUCCCCAGCAUUUUUGGAUACAGGAUAUUUAACCCGUAGUACGUCCCAUUACUAAUUUAUUGGGUUGUGAUCGUCAUUUCCAAACAAUGAAAUAGUACAGAAUAGACCAGGAGACCACACAGUGCAUUCAGUGGGGACACAGUCAGCUUCACCUGUCACUUCUCCGGUCCCACGGGGGUAACGAGGGAGGUGAUGUAAAAUGUAUGUGUGGAUUGGGGACAUGGGGGAGUCACAGCACAAAAGGAUGGGAAGCCUUGGGUGUAGCUGGAGCCAGAAUUAGGCAGUGUAGAUAGGUAAAUCGAGUCAGGUCGGAUCGAGGAGGCCAAUUUUGAGUGAGUCCAGGAGUUGGAGACUUGAAAUGUUAAUCCCUUCAGAGCCCCUCCUCCAUCCUUAGCAAGAACCUGCCCCUGCUCCCACCUGUUGUCCCAGGAGUUGCUCUUGGUCUCCCAUGCCACCAAGCCCCUGAGGUGGGGGCCCCGAGCCUGCAGCACCAUGUGGUGCCCCCACCCCACAGUCCAGCUAGGAAGGAAAGUCUCACUCCCUCUGUCCCCAGGAAGAGGGAGGGCCCUGGCAAUCAGAGGAUCUCUGAGACCCCAGAGGGGCACCCUUUGUGGCCCAGGAGGGCAGUCAGCUCUGCCAAGCCAAGGCACCAGCAGAGCCACGGUCAGCUUCUCAGGACUGCGAAGGGCCAGGCCCUGGAAUGGAGCACCCGAGGCUGCCACGGGCAUCUCCUGCUCCACGUGGCUGACUGUCAUGAUGGAGACUCCAUGGUCUGGGGGUGUGGGG